UGCAAGUCAAGGGGGCCCAGUAGCAAUACUGGGCAACCGGCGAACGGGUGCGUAAUACUGUGAGCAACCUUCCGAGAUAUGGGGGAUAGCCGGCCUAACGGCCGAGUAAUACCGCAUACGCUCUCGAUGAGGCAUUUCAUUGAGAGGAAACCUCCGGGGUAUUUCGAGGGGCUCGCGGCCUAUCAGCUAGUUGGCGAGGUAACGGCUCACCAAGGCAACGACGGGUAGCUGGUCUGAGAGGAUGGCCAGCCACAUUGGGACUGAGAUACGGCCCAGACUCCUACGGGAGGCAGCAGUGGGGAAUCUUGCGCAAUGGCCUAACGGCUGACGCAGCGACGCCGCGUGUGGGAUGAAGCUCUUCGGAGUGUAAACCACUGUUGCCCGGGACGAACAGCUCGAUUUUUCGAGCCUGACGGUACCGGGUGAGGAAGCACCGGCUAACUCCGUGCCAGCAGCCGCGGUAAUACGGGGGGUGCGAGCGUUGUCCGGAAUCACUGGGCGUAAAGGGCGCGUAGGUGGUUUGAUAAGGGUGUGGUGAAAGUCCGGGGCUCAACCCCGGAUCUGCCGUGCCGACUGUCAAACUCGAGGACUGUAGAGGCAGACGGAAUUCCGGGUGUAGCGGUGGAAUGCGUAGAGAUCCGGAGGAAGACCGGUGGCGAAGGCGGUCUGCUGGGCAGUUUCUGACACUGAGGCGCGACAGCGUGGGGAGCAAACAGGAUUAGAUACCCUGGUAGUCCACGCCGUAAACGAUGGGUACUAGGUGCCUGGGGGAGCGACCCUCUGGGUGCCGGCGCUAACGCAGGAAGUACCCCGCCUGGGGAGUACGACCGCAAGGU
rnacentral:rRNA from 1 species